rnacentral:rRNA from 1 species
GACGAACGCUGGCGGCGUGCUUAACACAUGCAAGUCGAACGGAAAGGCCCUGCUUUUGUGGGGUGCUCGAGUGGCGAACGGGUGAGUAACACGUGAGUAACCUGCCCUUGACUUUGGGAUAACUUCAGGAAACUGGGGCUAAUACCGGAUAGGAGCUCCUGCUGCAUGGUGGGGGUUGGAAAGUUUCGGCGGUUGGGGAUGGACUCGCGGCUUAUCAGCUUGUUGGUGGGGUAGUGGCUUACCAAGGCUUUGACGGGUAGCCGGCCUGAGAGGGUGACCGGCCACAUUGGGACUGAGAUACGGCCCAGACUCCUACGGGAGGCAGCAGUGGGGAAUAUUGCACAAUGGGCGGAAGCCUGAUGCAGCAACGCCGCGUGCGGGAUGACGGCCUUCGGGUUGUAAACCGCUUUCGCCUGUGACGAAGCGUGAGUGACGGUAAUGGGUAAAGAAGCACCGGCUAACUACGUGCCAGCAGCCGCGGUGAUACGUAGGGUGCGAGCGUUGUCCGGAUUUAUUGGGCGUAAAGGGCUCGUAGGUGGUUGAUCGCGUCGGAAGUGUAAUCUUGGGGCUUAACCCUGAGCGUGCUUUCGAUACGGGUUGACUUGAGGAAGGUAGGGGAGAAUGGAAUUCCUGGUGGAGCGGUGGAAUGCGCAGAUAUCAGGAGGAACACCAGUGGCGAAGGCGGUUCUCUGGGCCUUUCCUGACGCUGAGGAGCGGAAGCGUGGGGAGCGAACAGGCUUAGAUACCCUGGUAGUCCACGCUGUAAACGGUGGGUACUAGGUGUGGGGUCCAUUCCACGGGUUCCGUGCCGUAGCUAACGCUUUAAGUACCCCGCCUGGGGAGUACGGCCGCAAGGCUAAAACUCAAAGGAAUUGACGGGGCCCCGCACAAGCGGCGGAGCAUGCGGAUUAAUUCGAUGCAACGCGUAGAACCUUACCUGGGUUUGACAUGGAUCGGGAGUGCUCAGAGAUGGGUGUGCCUCUUUUGGGGUCGGUUCACAGGUGGUGCAUGGCUGUCGUCAGCUCGUGUCGUGAGAUGUUGGGUUAAGUCCCGCAACGAGCGCAACCCUUGUUCACUGUUGCCAGCACGUUAUGGUGGGGACUCAGUGGAGACCGCCGGGGUCAACUCGGAGGAAGGUGGGGAUGACGUCAAGUCAUCAUGCCCCUUAUGUCCAGGGCUUCACGCAUGCUACAAUGGCUGGUACAGAGAGUGGCGAGCCUGUGAGGGUGAGCGAAUCUCGGAAAGCCGGUCUCAGUUCGGAUUGGGGUCUGCAACUCGACCUCAUGAAGUCGGAGUCGCUAGUAAUCGCAGAUCAGCAACGCUGCGGUGAAUACGUUCCCGGG